UCCAACUCCCAAAACCUCUUUAAACUUUUGGCAGAUAUCCUCUAUCCGUACAGUCAGAUUAACACAACUAUGCAUGCAUUCAGCAUAUUCAACCUUCUAGACAACUCUGAAUUUCAACCACAGAAGUAUCCCCCAUUCCAACAACAAUCAAGAGUACCAGCCUUUUCCUCUCUUACGGAAAAUCCAGUUCACCAAUAUAUCACUGACUUUCAGCAACGAUUGCCUCAAUCUUCCCAAAAUCCUAUGAAGAAAAAAAAUCCCAACUCUCUGUCUUUUCCCCCCCAAAACAUGAAGCUAGCUCUCUGACCUAAAAUCCCUAAUUCUCCCCCUUUUUUUCAUUUCUUAAC
rnacentral:lncRNA from 1 species